rnacentral:snRNA from 1 species
UCGUCGACGAGAAUCGGUCG